AGGGAGGCACGUCACUUCCUAUUUCUUUAGGGGAACGUGGCUUUCCCGGCUGCGCCUGUCUUUGCUUCUGCGUCGCUGCAGCAGCUGCCAGAGCUGGAGUCGGAUCCCGAGCUCAGCCUCACCAUGGACUCGGCCCUCAGCGAUCCGCAUAACGCCAGCGCGGAGACAGGCGGACCAGCCAAUGGCACUACGCGGCCGCCUUCCACGCCUGAGGGCAUCGCGCUGGCCUACGGCAGCCUCCUGCUCAUGGCGCUGCUGCCCAUCUUCUUCGGCGCCCUGCGCUCCGUGCGCUGCGCCCGCGGCAAGAACCCAUCAGACAUGCCUGAGACAAUCACCAGCCGGGAUGCUGCCCGCUUCCCUAUCAUCGCCAGCUGCACACUCUUGGGGCUCUACCUCUUUUUCAAAGUUUAUUUUCCCAAUAAAAGUUACACAGGCUCAGUGUUGAAAACCUGGAAAACACAGAAAAGUAAAAAGGGAAAAACAGCAGCCAUCCAAAACCCCACAACCAGAGACAAUCACAGAUUCCCUUUUGAGAUAUUCUCCCAGGAGUACAUCAACCUUUUGCUGUCCAUGUAUUUCUUCGUGCUGGGAAUCCUGGCCCUGUCCCACACCAUCAGCCCCUUCAUGAAUAAGUUCUUCCCUGUCAACUUUCCAAAUCGACAAUAUCAGCUGCUCUUCACACAGGGCUCUGGGGAGAAUAAGGAAGAGAUCAUCAAUUAUGAGUUUGACACCAAGGACCUGGUGUGCCUGGGCCUGAGCAGCAUCGUUGGUGUCUGGUACCUGCUGAGGAAGCACUGGAUUGCCAACAACCUGUUUGGCCUGGCCUUUUCCCUUAAUGGAGUGGAACUCCUGCACCUCAACAACGUCAGCACCGGCUGCAUCCUUCUGGGCGGACUCUUCAUCUACGAUGUGUUUUGGGUGUUUGGCACCAAUGUGAUGGUGACAGUAGCCAAGUCCUUUGAGGCACCAAUCAAAUUGGUGUUCCCCCAGGAUCUACUGGAGAAGGGUCUCGAAGCAGACAAUUUUGCUAUGCUGGGACUUGGUGACAUCGUUAUUCCAGGAAUUUUCAUUGCCUUACUGCUGCGUUUUGAUAUCAGCUUGAAGAAGAACACCCACACCUACUUCUACACCAGUUUUGCAGCCUACAUCUUUGGCCUGGGCCUUACUAUCUUCAUCAUGCACAUCUUCAAGCAUGCCCAGCCUGCACUCCUGUACCUGGUCCCUGCCUGCAUCGGCUUUCCUGUCCUGGUGGCACUGGUCAAGGGAGAAGUGACAGAGAUGUUCAGCUACGAGUCCUCAGCGGAAAUCCUGCCUCACACCCCGAGGCUCACCCACUUCCCCACAGUCUCGGGCUCCCCAGCCAGCCUGGCCGACUCCAUGCAGCAGAAGCUAGCUGGCCCUCGCCACCGGCGCCCGCAGAAUGCCAGUGCCAUGUAAUGCCCAGCGGGUAUCCACCUGCCCACUGCCCCCCACUGCCCCAGGGCCCAAGUUAUGAGGAAUCAAAUCCUAAGGAUCCAGCAGCAGUGACAGAAUCCAAAGAGGGAACAGAGGCAUCAGCAUCGAAGGGGCUGGAGAAGAAGGAGAAAUGAUGCAGUGCUGUCUGACCACUGAGGGCCAGACCAGCCAGGAGGGACUGGACCAGCACAGGCGUGCAUGGGCCAGGGCGGAGGCCCAGGCAACACCAGUAGAGGGUGGGGCAGCAGGAUCCCUCUAGUGGGAGGCCUCUCCCCCUUCUCUGGCCUUCCUCUGCCCCUCCCCAUCCCCUGCAGGCAAAGGAAGUUCCCAAUUUUCCUCACCCCCUCUAGGUGCCAGGUGGGAAAAGUGGGUCUGGUUUUUAGUUUUUUGUUUGUUUGUUUGUUUUUGUAUUGUGGACUGAUUUUGCCUCACAUUAAAAACUCAUGCCAUUGCC